rnacentral:snRNA from 12 species
AUACUUACCUGGCAGAGGAAAGACCAUGAUCAGGCAGGUGGUUUUCCCAGGGUGAGACUUGUCCAUUGUACUCUCAAGCCUUUUAAUUUGAACUCUUACCUUUCUUUCUUUUUUCUUUCC